rnacentral:rRNA from 1 species
AACGAACGCUGGCGGCAUGCCUAACACAUGCAAGUCGAACGAGACCUUCGGGUCUAGUUGCGCACGGGUGCGUAACGCGUGGGAACCUGCCUUUAGGUUCGGAAUAACUCAGAGAAAUUUGAGCUAAUACCGGUUGAUGUCUUCGGACCAAAGAUUUAUCGCCUUUAGAUGGUCCCGCGUUGGAUUAGCUAGUUGGUGGGGUAAAGGCCUACCAAGGCGACGAUCCAUAGCUGGUCUGAGAGGAUGAUCAUCCACACUGGGACUGAGACACGGCCCAGACUCCUACGGGAGGCAGCAGUGGGGAAUAUUGGACAAUGGGCGAAAGCCUGAUCCAGCAAUGCCGCGUGAGUGAUGAAGGCCUUAGGGUUGUAAAGCUCUUUUACCCGAGAUGAUAAUGACAGUAUCGGGAGAAUAAGCUCCGGCUAACUCCGUG